CCUACGUGCGGCAGCAGUGGGGAAUAUUGGACAAUGGGCGAAAGCCUGAUCCAGCCAUGCCGCGUGUGUGAAGAAGGCCUUCGGGUUGUAAAGCACUUUCAGUGGGGAAGAAAGCCUUGGGGCUAAUACCCUCGAGGAAGGACAUCACCCACAGAAGAAGCACCGGCUAACCCGUGCCAGCAGCCGCGGUAAUACGGAGGGUGCGAGCGUUAAUCGGAAUUACUGGGCGUAAAGCGCGCGUAGGCGGUCUGAUAAGCCGGUUGUGAAAGCCCCGGGCUCAACCUGGGAACGGCAUCCGGAACGGUCAGGCUAGAGUGCAGGAGAGGAAGGUAGAAUUCCCGGUGUAGCGGUGAAAUGCGUAGAGAUCGGGAGGAAUACCAGUGGCGAAGGCGGCCUUCUGGACUGACACUGACGCUGAGGUGCGAAAGCGUGGGUAGCAAACAGGAUUAGAUACCCUGGUAGUC
rnacentral:rRNA from 1 species